rnacentral:rRNA from 1 species
CACACUAUCAUUAACUGAAUCCAUAGGUUAAUGAGGCGAACCGGGGGAACUGAAACAUCUAAGUACCCCGAGGAAAAGAAAUCAACCGAGAUUCCCCCAGUAGCGGCGAGCGAACGGGGAGGAGCCCAGAGCCUGAAUCAGUGUGUGUGUUAGUGGAAGCGUCUGGAAAGGCGCGCGAUACAGGGUGACAGCCCCGUACACAAAAAUGCACAUGCUGUGAGCUCGAUGAGUAGGGCGGGACACGUGGUAUCCUGUCUGAAUAUGGGGGGACCAUCCUCCAAGGCUAAAUACUCCUGACUGACCGAUAGUGAACCAGUACCGUGAGGGAAAGGCGAAAAGAACCCCGGCGAGGGGAGUGAAAAAGAACCUGAAACCGUGUACGUACAAGCAGUGGGAGCACGCUUAGGCGUGUGACUGCGUACCUUUUGUAUAAUGGGUCAGCGACUUAUAUUCUGUAGCAAGGUUAACCGAAUAGGGGAGCCGAAGGGAAACCGAGUCUUAACUGGGCGUUAAGUUGCAGGGUAUAGACCCGAAACCCGGUGAUCUAGCCAUGGGCAGGUUGAAGGUUGGGUAACACUAACUGGAGGACCGAACCGACUAAUGUUGAAAAAUUAGCGGAUGACUUGUGGCUGGGGGUGAAAGGCCAAUCAAACCGGGAGAUAGCUGGUUCUCCCCGAAAGCUAUUUAGGUAGCGCCUCGUGAAUUCAUCUCCGGGGGUAGAGCACUGUUUCGGCAAGGGGGUCAUCCCGACUUACCAACCCGAUGCAAACUGCGAAUACCGGAGAAUGUUAUCACGGGAGACACACGGCGGGUGCUAACGUCCGUCGUGAAGAGGGAAACAACCCAGACCGCCAGCUAAGGUCCCAAAGUCAUGGUUAAGUGGGAAACGAUGUGGGAAGGCCCAGACAGCCAGGAUGUUGGCUUAGAAGCAGCCAUCAUUUAAAGAAAGCGUAAUAGCUCACUGGUCGAGUCGGCCUGCGCGGAAGAUGUAACGGGGCUAAACCAUGCACCGAAGCUGCGGCAGCGACGCUGAUGCGUUGUUGGGUAGGGGAGCGUUCUGUAAGCCUGUGAAGGUGUGCUGUGAGGCAUGCUGGAGGUAUCAGAAGUGCGAAUGCUGACAUAAGUAACGAUAAAGCGGGUGAAAAGCCCGCUCGCCGGAAGACCAAGGGUUCCUGUCCAACGUUAAUCGGGGCAGGGUGAGUCGACCCCUAAGGCGAGGCCGAAAGGCGUAGUCGAUGGGAAACAGGUUAAUAUUCCUGUACUUGGUGUUACUGCGAAGGGGGGACGGAGAAGGCUAUGUUGGCCGGGCGACGGUUGUCCCGGUUUAAGCGUGUAGGCUGGUUUUCCAGGCAAAUCCGGAAAACUAAGGCUGAGGCGUGAUGACGAGGCACUACGGUGCUGAAGCAACAAAUGCCCUGCUUCCAGGAAAAGCCUCUAAGCAUCAGGUAACAUCAAAUCGUACCCCAAACCGACACAGGUGGUCAGGUAGAGAAUACCAAGGCGCUUGAGAGAACUCGGGUGAAGGAACUAGGCAAAAUGGUGCCGUAACUUCGGGAGAAGGCACGCUGAUAUGUAGGUGAAGUCCCUCGCGGAUGGAGCUGAAAUCAGUCGAAGAUACCAGCUGGCUGCAACUGUUUAUUAAAAACACAGCACUGUGCAAACACGAAAGUGGACGUAUACGGUGUGACGCCUGCCCGGUGCCGGAAGGUUAAUUGAUGGGGUCAGCGCAAGCGAAGCUCUUGAUCGAAGCCCCGGUAAACGGCGGCCGUAACUAUAACGGUCCUAAGGUAGCGAAAUUCCUUGUCGGGUAAGUUCCGACCUGCACGAAUGGCGUAAUGAUGGCCAGGCUGUCUCCACCCGAGACUCAGUGAAAUUGAACUCGCUGUGAAGAUGCAGUGUACCCGCGGCAAGACGGAAAGACCCCGUGAACCUUUACUAUAGCUUGACACUGAACAUUGAGCCUUGAUGUGUAGGAUAGGUGGGAGGCUUUGAAGUGUGGACGCCAGUCUGCAUGGAGCCGACCUUGAAAUACCACCCUUUAAUGUUUGAUGUUCUAACGUUGACCCGUAAUCCGGGUUGCGGACAGUGUCUGGUGGGUAGUUUGACUGGGGCGGUCUCCUCCUAAAGAGUAACGGAGGAGCACGAAGGUUGGCUAAUCCUGGUCGGACAUCAGGAGGUUAGUGCAAUGGCAUAAGCCAGCUUGACUGCGAGCGUGACGGCGCGAGCAGGUGCGAAAGCAGGUCAUAGUGAUCCGGUGGUUCUGAAUGGAAGGGCCAUCGCUCAACGGAUAAAAGGUACUCCGGGGAUAACAGGCUGAUACCGCCCAAGAGUUCAUAUCGACGGCGGUGUUUGGCACCUCGAUGUCGGCUCAUCACAUCCUGGGGCUGAAGUAGGUCCCAAGGGUAUGGCUGUUCGCCAUUUAAAGUGGUACGCGAGCUGGGUUUAGAACGUCGUGAGACAGUUCGGUCCCUAUCUGCCGUGGGCGCUGGAGAACUGAGGGGGGCUGCUCCUAGUACGAGAGGACCGGAGUGGACGCAUCACUGGUGUUCGGGUUGUCAUGCCAAUGGCACUGCCCGGUAGCUAAAUGCGGAAGAGAUAAGUGCUGAAAGCAUCUAAGCACGAAACUUGCCCCGAGAUGAGUUCUCCCUGACCCUUUAAGGGUCCUGAAGGAACGUUGAAGACGACGACGUUGAUAGGCCGGGUGUGUAAGCGCAGCGAUGCGUUGAGCUAACCGGUACUAAUGAACCGUGAGGCUUAACCUUACAACGCCGAAG